UGAUGUUAGCGGCGGACGGGUGAGUAACACGUGGAUAACCUACCUAUAAGACUGGGAUAACUUCGGGAAACCGGAGCUAAUACCGGAUAAUAUUUUGAACCGCAUGGUUCAAAAGUGAAAGACGGUCUUGCUGUCACUUAUAGAUGGAUCCGCGCUGCAUUAGCUAGUUGGUAAGGUAACGGCUUACCAAGGCAACGAUGCAUAGCCGACCUGAGAGGGUGAUCGGCCACACUGGAACUGAGACACGGUCCAGACUCCUACGGGAGGCAGCAGUAGGGAAUCUUCCGCAAUGGGCGAAAGCCUGACGGAGCAACGCCGCGUGAGUGAUGAAGGUCUUCGGAUCGUAAAACUCUGUUAUUAGGGAAGAACAUAUGUGUAAGUAACUGUGCACAUCUUGACGGUACCUAAUCAGAAAGCCACGGCUAACUACGUGCCAGCAGCCGCGGUAAUACGUAGGUGGCAAGCGUUAUCCGGAAUUAUUGGGCGUAAAGCGCGCGUAGGCGGUUUUUUAAGUCUGAUGUGAAAGCCCACGGCUCAACCGUGGAGGGUCAUUGGAAACUGGAAAACUUGAGUGCAGAAGAGGAAAGUGGAAUUCCAUGUGUAGCGGUGAAAUGCGCAGAGAUAUGGAGGAACACCAGUGGCGAAGGCGACUUUCUGGUCUGUAACUGACGCUGAUGUGCGAAAGCGUGGGGAUCAAACAGGAUUAGAUACCCUGGUAGUCCACGCCGUAAACGAUGAGUGCUAAGUGUUAGGGGGUUUCCGCCCCUUAGUGCUGCAGCUAACGCAUUAAGCACUCCGCCUGGGGAGUACGACCGCAAGGUUGAAACUCAAAGGAAUUGACGGGGACCCGCACAAGCGGUGGAGCAUGUGGUUUAAUUCGAAGCAACGCGAAGAACCUUACCAAAUCUUGACAUCCUUUGACAACUCUAGAGAUAGAGCUUUCCCCUUCGGGGGACAAAGUGACAGGUGGUGCAUGGUUGUCGUCAGCUCGUGUCGUGAGAUGUUGGGUUAAGUCCCGCAACGAGCGCAACCCUUAAGCUUAGUUGCCAUCAUUAAGUUGGGCACUCUAAGUUGACUGCCGGUGACAAACCGGAGGAAGGUGGGGAUGACGUCAAAUCAUCAUGCCCCUUAUGAUUUGGGCUACACACGUGCUACAAUGGACAAUACAAAGGGCAGCGAAACCGCGAGGUCAAGCAAAUCCCAUAAAGUUG
rnacentral:rRNA from 1 species